AGUGGUUAGAAUGUGUAGUGGUAGCGGGGAAAUGCAUAGAUAUUACACAGAAUACCGAUUGCGAAGGCAGAUCACUAAUAAUAUAUUGACGCUGAUGGACGAAAGCGUAGGUAGCGAACAGGAUUAGAUACCCUGGUAGUCUACGCCGUAAACGAUGGUUACUAGCUGUCCGGCCUAAUUGAGGGCUGGGUGGUUAAGCGAAAGUGAUAAGUAACCCACCUGGGGAGUACGUUCGCAAGAAUGAAACUCAAAGGAAUUGACGGGGGCCCGCACAAGCGGUGGAGCAUGUGGUUUAAUUCGAUGAUACGCGAGGAACCUUACCAGGGCUUAAAUGCAGUCUGACAGGGAUGGAAACAUCUUUUUCUUCGGACAGAUUGCAAGGUGCUGCAUGGUUGUCGUCAGCUCGUGCCGUGAGGUGUCAGGUUAAGUCCUAUAACGAGCGCAACCCCUGUGGUUAGUUGCCAGCACGUAAUGGUGGGAACUCUAGCCAGACUGCCGGUGCAAACCGUGAGGAAGGUGGGGAUGACGUCAAAUCAUCACGGCCCUUACGUCCUGGGCCACACACGUGCUACAAUGGUAGGGACAGAGAGCAGCCACUGGGCGACCAGGAGCGAAUCUAUAAACCCUAUCACAGUUCGGAUCGUAGUCUGCAACUCGACUACGUGAAGCUGGAAUCGCUAGUAAUCGCAUAUCAGCCAUGAUGCGGUGAAUACGUUCCCGGGCCUUGUACACACCGCCCGUCAAGCCAUGGAAGCUGGGGGUACCUGAAGUCCGUUACCGUAAGGAGCGGCCUAGGGUAAAACUGGUAACUGGGGCUAAGUCGUAACAAGGUAACC
rnacentral:rRNA from 1 species